ACUGCGAUAAGUAAUGUGAAUUGCAGAAUUCAGUGAAUCAUCGAGUCUUUGAACGCACAUUGCGCCCCCUGGCAUUCCGGGGGGCAUGCCUGUCCGAGCGUCAUUGCUGCCCUUCAAGCCCGGCUUGUGUGUUGGGUCGUCGUCCCCCUCGGGGGACGGGCCCGAAAGGCAGCGGCGGCACCGUGUCCGGUCCUCGAGCGUAUGGGGCUUUGUCACCCGCUCGAUUAGGGCCGGCCGGGCGCCAGCCGGCGUCUCCAACCUUAUUUUUCUCAGGUUGACCUCGGAUCAGGUAGGGAUACCCGCUGAACUUAAGC
rnacentral:misc_RNA from 1 species